rnacentral:rRNA from 1 species
GCUUACCUGCANGUCGACGGCAGCACGGGGGCACCCUGGUGGCGAGUGGCGAACGGGUGAGUAAUGCAUCGGAACGUGCCCAGUUGUGGGGGAUAGCCCGGCGAAAGCCGGAUUAAUACCGCAUACGACCUGAGGGUGAAAGCGGGGGACCGCAAGGCCUCGCGCAAUUGGAGCGGCCGAUGUCGGAUUAGCUAGUUGGUGGGGUAAAGGCCUACCAAGGCGACGAUCCGUAGCUGGUCUGAGAGGACGACCAGCCACACUGGGACUGAGACACGGCCCAGACUCCUACGGGAGGCAGCAGUGGGGAAUUUUGGACAAUGGGGGCAACCCUGAUCCAGCCAUGCCGCGUGCGGGAAGAAGGCCUUCGGGUUGUAAACCGCUUUUGUCAGGGAAGAAAUGCUCCGGGCUAAUAUCCUGGAGUGAUGACGGUACCUGAAGAAUAAGCACCGGCUAACUACGUGCCAGCAGCCGCGGUAAUACGUAGGGUGCGAGCGUUAAUCGGAAUUACUGGGCGUAAAGCGUGCGCAGGCGGUUGUGCAAGACANAUGUGAAAUCCCCGGGCUCANCUGGGAACUGCAUUUGUGACUGCNCGGCUAGAGUGCGGCAAAGGGGGAUGGAAUUCCCCGUGUAGCAGUGAAUGCGUAAAUUGCGGAGGAACCCGAUGGCGAAGGAAUCCCCUGGGCUGCCUGACCUCAUGCCC